rnacentral:rRNA from 1 species
AGUAACACGUGGGUAACCUGCCCGGAAGUGGGGAAUACCUCGGGGAAACUCGAGCUAAUACCGCAUGACAUCUUUGGGACGAGAGUCCUGAAGAUCAAAGCGGGGUCGCAAGAUCUCGCGCUACCGGAUGGGCCCGCGCCCGAUUAGCUAGUUGGCGAGGUAACGGCUCACCAAGGCUUCGAUCGGUAACCGGCCUGAGAGGGCGAUCGGUCACACCGGAACUGAGACACGGUCCGG